rnacentral:lncRNA from 1 species
CAGCCACUGCUUUCAGUGCUGCCCAAGAGCUUUCUUGUGAUCCACAAGAAGCACCGCCACCACCGGACAUUCUCGCCGCCGUCCCAAGCCCUUAGUUCUUCCGCCCAAGCCUCCUCUGUAAGACAAAGGUAGGCUGCCGACCCUUGUUCGCUUCGCCCGACCCCUCUUAUCCGCCCAACCCUCAUUCGCUUCGCCCGACCCCUCUUAUCCGCCCGACCCCGG